rnacentral:miRNA from 1 species
GGAAUCUUGAUGAUGCUCA